rnacentral:rRNA from 1 species
GAUGAACGCUGGCGGCAGGCCUAAUACAUGCAAGUCGAGCGGAAGGACAGUAAGCGUGCUUCUCUACUGUUAGCGGCGGACGGGUGAGUAAGGCAUGCAUCACCUACUUCUAUUACUUGGGUGACUUCGGGGGACCGUAGCUGAUAAUAGCUAAUAUUUUGUACCGCUUGAUUCAAAGGUGAAUGACGCUCUUGCUGUCACUUAUAGAUGAAUCCGCGCUGCAUUAGCUAGUUGGUAAGGUAACGGCUUACCAAGGCAACGAUGCAUAGCCGAUCUGAGAGGAUGAUCGGCCACACUGGAACUGAGACACGGUCCAGACUCCUACGGGAGGCAGCAGUAGGGAAUAUUGCGCAAUGGGCGAAAGCCUGACGGAGCAAUGCCGCGUGAGUGAUGAAGGUCUUCGGAUCGUAAAACUCUGUUAUUAGGGAAGAAAAUAUGUGUAAGUAACUGUGGCUAUCUUGACGGUACCUAAUCAGAAAGCAACGGCUAACUACGUG